CCCCUCUCAGGGUCGCACCUGGAGAGUUUUCGGUACUCUGUCGGUCUCGAUUACGGGAGGAAGAGUCGAGCAAAGGCCUACCCACUCCAUUCCUAGCUUGCGAAGUGGCUAGCGAGUGGAAGGCAAUCUGCUAAAAUC